rnacentral:lncRNA from 10 species
CGGCAACCCCCGCUUCGCAGAAACAGCCAGAACCCAUCUACAGCAAGAAGACGGAAAUCCAAAGGCAGACAGUACGGGCUCCCUUCGCCAAACUCUUCAUUUUCUCUGCACUUCAGGUGGCAAGACAGCUCCUUCUUCAGCAGCAACAGCAGCAGCAAGUUAGUGGAUUAAAAUCUCCCAAGAGGAAUGACAAACAACCAGCUCUUCAGAACAGAAUUCAGAACUGCAAGCA